UCUUCAGACAAUGCUA
rnacentral:sRNA from 1 species